CAUACUAUAGUCCUGAUAACUUCGAUCGCUUUGUUUUUCAAGUGUUGGCUUUUUUGUCUAUGUCACAGUGCUAAUGUCAACGUCACGAUGGAGUAUCGCGAGCAGCCAAAAACAGAAUGCUGUAACAAGAAGCCCAGAAUAAAGAACGUCGGAAUACGAGCAGCGAUAUUUCUAGAUGAGUCAAAUCAUUUAUUAUGUAGAUUGUUUCUGAUUUUAACCUCUUAGCUAUGGUUGGCCUUUCCGCGGAGCUGUAUCUCUGUACGGCAAAGUUCGACGCGGACUGCGCGUAAACAAUGCAGCACUUCAAUUUGUGUCUGGUAAUGCUUUUUACUACGCAAGUACAUUAGAAUACAGUUUUAGAUGAAUAAAUUAUAAUUUAUUAGAAAUAAGAGUGAGCCACUACAGUGACUUAUCGUUCAGAAAGAUGACAUACGCGAAAGCCACUAUAGUGGCAUGCUGUUCAAAAAGAUGACAUAUGCGAAAACCACUAUAAUGGCUAUAGUAGCUAAGAGGUUAAUAGACGUUUCACGAAUUUACUGAGAAUAAGCAGAUAUCCGAGUUGAAAUUUAGAUAUUCGUACGCUAUUCGUAAUGUGUCACUAUUUAACUAAUAAUCAUAGUCAUGAAUCUUUAUCUACUUCAUCAAUCUAUACUUAUUUUAUAUUCAACGUAUCGAAACAGUCGAAUAAUGGCUUAUAAAUUACGUCUGUAAUUAAUUAUGCUCUUAUUUACAUCACUACAAUAUUCUGCUUUGUUUAAAAUAUAAUGUAAUGUUGUGCGACGCGCGAGAGUACCAGAAUUGUAAGCAAAAAAUAUAAACUCAUUCUCUUCUAUUCUCAACAGUCGUUCUCAACUCAUCAAUAACCGUCGAACGACUACACAAUCAAAACAUUGGUCUUGAAGACGGUCAUGUUUACUUCUAUCUUGCGGACUUUUUCAAGUGUUUCCAUUCAGCCUCGAGCUGGCAAGCAACACGUACACACGGACUACGCGUGUCGCAUCGCGUUAUUUAACACGUGUAGCUUUGAAUGAAUCGUGUUACGAGUGUCAGUGCCACGACGGAAUAGCCAGGAUGCCAGAUCAAGAAGCCAGGAUGGAGGAUGCGAGACAAUGAGACAAUGAGACAUAGAUAGCGAUACAUCAUAUAUUUUCAAGGUAUGUUAAAUUAUGUAUUAUGCAGGACAUUUUUAACGGAUUUUUUUUGCAAAUUUAUCGAGAAU